GCGUCGGUGGCAGAGUGGUCAAUUGCAUUUGACUGUAAAUCAAACGCCUUCGGGCUACGGAGGUUCGAAUCCUCCCCGGCGCA
rnacentral:tRNA from 1 species